rnacentral:lncRNA from 1 species
GCUCAAUCAGUCCCCUGUUCACCAUGCCAUGUCCUUCAAAAUGCACAUACAGGUUUGUGAGAGAGAUACAUCUAACAUGAAAUGAAUUAAAAGCAGAAGCCAAAUUCUCAAAAAAUAGGUGGUUCCUUUGAAACAUACCUUUAUGUCUUCAUCAUUCUUGCCAUAAUUUCCAAAGUUUGAACUUCUCAAAAUUUGCCAUGACUAACUUAUAUUUACAGUAAUCAGCGUAUAAGUCACGAAACUGCAAUUUUCUCCUCCAAGACAGAUGUAAGCAGUGAAUGAGCUGCUAACAUCUCAUUACACGCAACGAUGUCAUUAUGUGGAAAAUAACACAACGGGGAUGCCCGAAGCAAGAUUUUUAGCCACUGAGAUCUGAGAACUUGGUCAUAAAAUACUGACUCAAAUUGAAGUAGUCAGGAUGAAAUUCAGUGCCUUAAUACCAGCAACUCAUACCCUACUAUGUUGCAUGGGCUUGUCAUUCUCCUUGUUUCUUUAACAUAGUUAAAUUAUGUUGAGGUAAUGGGAGUGGCAUGUUUGGGAACUUCAGACCUAUUUUAAUUCAAUUGUAACAUUGGCAAACCCUUACAUUUUUACAGAUCCUCCAGUAACAGGCUACAAAACCCCAUAGGAGUGUGCUAAACCUUGUAGCACCUGACUGAGAUGAAAAUAUAUUCAGAAAGGCUUCAUGUGAGGCAGAAGAUGUGGAUGUCUGGGGUGCCUGAGGGGGCAGCUGAGGGGCAGCUUAGGGAGGAAGAGCUACUGUAGUCCUCGGACCGAGGCCAGCACUCGAGUUGUUCCAGCAGCCACUGCCUAAGCAAAAUAAAGCGCAGCACCAAGGGAACAAGAGUGCCAGACUUGCUGCAAUACAACCCCUGGGAGGGAGGAGAGAAGAUCUUCCACAAAGCUGUUGUGCAGCUCAGAGUGCAUGCAUCUUUGUUCCCCAAUUUCUGGCCAGGAACAGAACCUGGAGUGCCCAAGCACUGCGGUGAAGCCAGCUGUCAUGACAUUUCCAACCCAACCAGAAGUGCAGGAAAUCUCCCAAGAAAGCUUGUUUUUAUAGGCUCCCAGAAGGCUUGCAUAUGUCAGAUAUGCUUAUCCAGACCAAACCCAGCCUUCCUGAAAUUCAUUCCUCACUAACAUUAAUGCUUUUUUCCAUGUCAAUUUGAGCGGUGUGAGAUUUUUGGCAAUAAGGGAGUAGUAAAGAUUUGUUUACAGCUGUUUUGGAAUGGAUGCUGG